AUGGUGCUUUCAUCACUGUUCAGUAAUCUCAACCUCCUGUCUCUGUUUGAAUCAACGUCAGACCGGUGCAAAGGCUUUGAUCUAAGCUCCGAUCGGAACUACAACGAUCGAAAACUGUCUGAUGCGUUUUUGACGGUGACGAACAAGAAGGAAAGCCAUAGAUGCCGAAUUGUAUUUGAGCCGUUUUGUUCUUGUGUAUCAUUUGUUGAGCACGGAUCAGAGAUGCAAGAUUGUGAAGAUUGA